UGGGAAGUGUGUGGCAGUAGUCGAGGUAGUAGUUAGUUCGCGAGUGUUUGCCGGAUUUAUUGGGCGUAAAGCGUGCGCAGUGUGUUAGAUAAGUCUGAAGUUAAAGGCUGUGGCUUAACCAUAGUACGCUGUGGAAACUGUUUAAGUUGAGUGCAGAAGGGGAGAGUGGAAUUCCAUGUGUAGCGGUGAAAUGCGUAGAUAUAUGGAGGAACACCGGUGGCGAAAGCGGCUCUCUGGUCUGUAACUGACGCUGAGGCUCGAAAGCGUGGGGAGCGAACAGGAUUAGAUACCCGAGUAGUC
rnacentral:rRNA from 1 species